GAUGCACGCGAAAACCUUACCUACGCUUGACAUGUCCGAAAGCCCGAAGAGAUUUGGGUGUGCUCGAAAGAGAAUCGGAACACAGGUGCUGCAUGGCUGUCGUCAGCUCGUGUCGUGAGAUGUUGGGUUAAGUCCCGCAACGAGCGCAACCCUUGUCAUUAGUUGCUACAUUAAGUUGGGCACUCUAAUGAGACUGCCGGUGACAAACCGGAGGAAGGUGGGGAUGACGUCAAGUCCUCAUGGCCCUUAUGCGUAGGGCUUCACACGUCAUACAAUGGUCGGUACAGAGGGUCGCCAACCCGCGAGGGGGAGCCAAUCUCAGAAAGCCGAUCGUAGUCCGGAUCGUAGUCUGCAACUCGACUACGUGAAGUCGGAAUCGCUAGUAAUCGCGGAUCAGCAUGUCGCGGUGAAUACGUUCCCGGGCCUUGUACACACCGCCCGUCACACCAUGGGGGCGGGUUUUACCAGAAGUAGCUAGGCUAACCGCAAGGAGGCCGGUACCAC
rnacentral:rRNA from 1 species